rfam:Gossypium hirsutum cultivar TM-1 unplaced genomic scaffold scaffold787.1, whole genome shotgun sequence
CACUUUAUAACAUAUCCAUUAUCUACGGGGAAAUUGUUACAACUGUACAAAUGCCUUUAAAAUAGCGCACCACAAAGGCAUAACUUUGUCAUUGGGAGGGGAACAAAAAUAGGAAAUGAUUGUUAAUACCCCAUAAACUAAGGAGCAAAAUAAGGAAUCUUCUUGAGGAAGGGCUCACAUCUGAUUAAUUAGUUGGUGAGGAAAUAGCGAAACAAGGCUAUGAUCAAUAGGUGGUUGAGAAGAAGAUUAGCCACACUGGGAUUGAGAUAUGACCCAAACUUCUUCGGAAUGCAAUAGUGGGAAAUUUUCCGCAAUAGGAAAAAGCCUAACAGAGCAAUGUCACGUAGAGGUAAAAGACCCAUGGGUCAUGAACAUUUCCUAAAGAAUAAGCAAUGAUGAUAUUUAGGGAAAAAUCAUUGACUAACUCUGUGCUAAAAAUUGUGAUAGUAAAGAGGAUGCAAGUG